CUGUCGACGAAUCUGCCUCCAUUCUCCUAAACACAAUCACCAACAUUUGGAUUAACGAUGCUUUCGCCGUCGUCUGAUUUACUAAAUUUUUGCUCCCUAAAAAGAUAUCAUAACAAGUCCUCACAAUCUGCAACAAGCAAUCACCGUGUAUCCUCAACGAAAUCGAUGUAACCGCCGAUAGAUAAGCACCGAGAGCUCAAUUGCAUCGUCGCCAAUAUCAUAACAUUUACAAACGGAUUCAAUUAAUUUCGACAAGAGUUGAGCCUCCGUAUCUCCGCUGGGGUCCGCCUCACCGCGUAAGUAACCGUGAGCUAUUAAUUUCUGGAUGCAAUCAACGGCUGG
rnacentral:misc_RNA from 1 species